rnacentral:rRNA from 1 species
AGUGGACGCUGGCGGUAGGCCUAACACAUGCAAGUCGAACGGCAGCACAGAAAGAGCUUGCUCUUACGGGUGGCGAGUGGCGGACGGGUGAGGAAUACAUCGGAAUCUACUUUUUCGUGGGGGAUAACGUAGGGAAACUUACGCUAAUACCGCAUACGACCUACGGGUGAAAGCAGGGGAUCUUCGGACCUUGCGCGAUUGAAUGAGCCGAUGUCGGAUUAGCUAGUUGGCGGGGUAAAGGCCCACCAAGGCGACGAUCCGUAGCUGGUCUGAGAGGAUGAUCAGCCACACUGGAACUGAGACACGGUCCAGACUCCUACGGGAGGCAGCAGUGGGGAAUAUUGGACAAUGGGCGCAAGCCUGAUCCAGCCAUACCGCGUGGGUGAAGAAGGCCUUCGGGUUGUAAAGCCCUUUUGUUGGGAAAGAAAAGCAGCAGGUUAAUACCCCGCUGUUCUGACGGUACCCAAAGAAUAAGCACCGGCUAACUUCGUG